rnacentral:rRNA from 1 species
GACGGACGCUGGCGGCGUGCUUAACACAUGCAAGUCGAACGGAAAGGCCCCAGCUUGCUGGGGUACUCGAGUGGCGAACGGGUGAGUAACACGUGGGUGAUCUGCCCUGCACUCUGGGAUAAGCCUGGGAAACUGGGUCUAAUACCGGAUAGGACCGUGCUUUAGUGUGUGCGGUGGAAAGUUUUUCGGUGCAGGAUGAGCCCGCGGCCUAUCAGCUUGUUGGUGGGGUAAUGGCCUACCAAGGCGGCGACGGGUAGCCGGCCUGAGAGGGUGUACGGCCACAUUGGGACUGAGACACGGCCCAGACUCCUACGGGAGGCAGCAGUGGGGAAUAUUGCACAAUGGGCGCAAGCCUGAUGCAGCGACGCCGCGUGGGGGAUGACGGCCUUCGGGUUGUAAACCCCUUUCGGCAGGGACGAAGCUUUUGUGACGGUACCUGCAUAAGAAGCACCGGCUAACUACGUG